GGUCGGGAUUCAGUUUUGUUGAAUGGAGAAAUUGCGAACAACCCGGGACGGCGCGGAUGCGCGUCCGCCCGGGUCACCUUCCAGUUUGAAGGCGACCUGCGCGAAGCAACAGACGAUUAUUGCAGACGUUCGACAUGAUGAAUUGAAGCUAUGGCCGUUUGCAGGAAAGUCAACGGAGUAGAUGCGACAUGUUGGCCCGCGUACG
rnacentral:misc_RNA from 1 species